rnacentral:rRNA from 1 species
GACGAACGCUGGCGGCGUGCUUAACACAUGCAAGUCGAACGGUAAGGCCCUUCGGGGUACACGAGUGGCGAACGGGUGAGUAACACGUGGGUGAUCUGCCCUGCACUUCGGGAUAAGCCUGGGAAACUGGGUCUAAUACCGGAUAGGACCCUGGGAUGCAUGUCCUGGGGUGGAAAGCUUUUGCGGUGUGGGACGGGCCCGCGGCCUAUCAGCUUGUUGGUGGGGUGAUGGCCUACCAAGGCGACGACGGGUAGCCGGCCUGAGAGGGUGACCGGCCACACUGGGACUGAGAUACGGCCCAGACUCCUACGGGAGGCAGCAGUGGGGAAUAUUGCACAAUGGGCGCAAGCCUGAUGCAGCGACGCCGCGUGAGGGAUGACGGCCUUCGGGUUGUAAACCUCUUUCAGCACCGACGAAGCGCAAGUGACGGUAGGCGCAGAAGAAGGACCGGCCAACUACGUGCCAGCCGCCGCGGUAA